CAAAUUUGAUUACUACUUUAUGUUCAAUACGAGGCUCUUUCAUUUUUCUGGAUUAUUUUACAACUCAAAGAAUUUGGAAAUAUAAAUCUGUAACAGGUGUUUGACACCAGUAGGUCUCUAUUUACUGGGAAAUGUGUACAUGUGUUUUCAGAUAUACAGUGGUCCUAAGUAAAAUCAAUUUAGGGGUCCAUAUAAUGUCUAUAGAAAAGUAGCCCAUGUCUUAACAUCUUAAAAGGAAUCUGCAGGUAAUGAAAAGUCCAAUGGAAAAAACCUGAAUGCUUAAAUAAUUGAUACUUAACCAGUUUCCAGGUUUGGGGAACAUUAUUUAAAGUUCCUUAAAAGUAUUACCAGUAGGUUCCAAAUAGAAAGUAGUAAGAUUCAUAAAAGUUUGUUAGGUUCUGUAAAGAAUUCCUUCUGUAGUCCUAUGUAGUCUCAUGCUUGUAUGUUACCGUGCAGUCUGAUCCUCAGGUAUUAAUUUGGAAGCAGGUGAUAGGUAGACUCCUCCACACACACCCCUUUUUGCUGCAGUUUAUGAAGUGGGGCAGCCCCACAUGGUCUCAGGAGCUCCCAUCCUGAGGCACCUAGAGCACUUGACAGAUAUGUCCAGUCCUGUUCAAGGGGACAGGGUCCCCUCACAGAAGCAUGAGACACUACCAGAGAUGAAGGUGGACACUCUGGAGUGUCGCCAAAGCCUGUGGGUCACUUCUCAUUCCCACCUUUGCUUGAGGGUGUUUUGAAGAUGUUCAGAGACUAAAUCUUGACUUUCUUUGAAUACAACAAUAGCCAUUUCAGGAAUUUCAGUCUUAAGGCAGAAAUAAAAACACAUUUCCCAUUUUUCUCCACUUUUAAGCUUAAUUUUAGUAACUUAUUUAUGAUUUUUUAAUUUUAUUGUGGCCUCAUCUUUUGGGGCUGACCUUCCCAUGGGUCUCAGAGCAGUGACAUUUGGUGACAGGUCACUGCCUCUCAGGAGUCGGUAUGCACAAGCACUCAGCAGCCUCUGCUGAUGCCUUCUAAGGAAACUUAAUUUCCGUUUCUAAAGGUAGGGGCCUCGGAACUGUUCUUGAUCUGCUGUAGAACUUCACCAUGUGGGAAUGGUGAAACCCACACACUCUUGAUCAGUUGGAAGAG
ensembl:lncRNA